CCUACGUGAGGCAGCAGUAGGGAAUAUUGGGCAAUGGGCGAGAGCCUGACCCAGCCAUGCCGCGUGCCGGAUGAAGGCCUUCUGGGUUGUAAACGGCUUUUCUCAGGGAAGAAAACGACCAUGCUUGGUACACUGACGGUACCUGAGGAAUAAGCACCGGCUAACUCCGUGCCAGCAGCCGCGGUAAUACGGAGGGUGCAAGCGUUGUCCGGAUUUAUUGGUUUUAAAGGGUGCGUAGGCGGCCCGUUAAGUCCGGGGUGAAAGACCACUGCUCAAAAGUGGAACUGCCCUGGAUACUGGCGGGCUUGAGUCCAGACGAGGUUGGCGGAAUGGAUGGUGUAGCGGUGAAAUGCAUAGAUACCAUCCAGAACCCCGAUUGCGAAGGCAGCUGACUAGGCUGGUACUGACGCUGAGGCACGAAAGCGUGGGGAGCGAACAGGAUUAGAUACCCCGGUAGUC
rnacentral:rRNA from 1 species